rnacentral:other from 1 species
CCAACCCUGCGCUGCGCGUGCAGGUCCUAGUCAACGUGAGCCAACACCACGUUUCCGGGAAUCCGGCUUCCGUGGGGGCGGGCACGCCCGGCACGUGAGCAUCACGGGACGCCAUGGCCCCUCCGGAGAGGAUACCCACCUGUCGAGGAGGGUUCAGCGUGGACGGGGCCCACGGCAGCGCGGGGCGUUU